AGAAACUUAGGUUAACAUCUAAACCAAGAGCCUUCAAAGCCCUAAACAGGGGAUAAACCCUCUAGUCUCUG
rnacentral:tRNA from 1 species